CUUGGCAAAAUGGAAUAUCUGAAUUUUGAGUAUACUGAAUUCAAUUCAGCAAAUGUAUCUCCCUGCUUUGCCAUGCAGCCUGCUGUCCUAGACACUUCAAGGGCUUAGAAAAUGAGCCACAUUCUCUGUCUGUAAACAGACGUUUGUGACAUCACACAUGUUACAUGCUCACAGCAGCUUGCCCGUUUUCUGGCUUGAACUUUUAUCACAUCAAAAAGACCAAUGCCUGGCCUUUUCUAGACAGAUAAACAACUCUGUACCUGGAACAAAAAGACAAACCUACCAGCUCCAUAGUUGCCUAACACUCCUCAGAGAGGAACCAAGUGGGCCCUGCCUGGAUGCUAAUGGCAAGUUUGGCUCUUGGGAGCUGAAACUAAAAGGGACAAUGUAUUGUGCUCACAGGUACUAUACACAGGAGGAGCCUGAAGCUGACUAUGAGCCAAGUCUGUAGAGAGCACCCAAAGUCAAGAUUCCUUUAAGUCUCUCAGUCUUCAAAACCAAAGGUGAAGCGUGGAACUGGAUCCGGAUGACAAAGCAGAAAGGCCACAUAAACGAAAGCUGUAAAGCAAAUAUCUUCACCGAACAGCAAGAGAAAAUAGUUGUUUCUGAAAUGGAAAGUAGAAGCUAAGGUGGAACACUUCAGAUUUCGAAAUGACAAAGCAAUUUUCAGAUAAACGUUUUACAAAGCAUUUUCCAGUAAAGUGACCUUCUGGGUCUCUGGUCAAAAACCAUUAAGUCAUUUUCUCACCCAUUCCAUGAAAUGUUUUGAACUGAAGUCAGCUUAUUAGAGCAAAAUUUUUCAACCUUUGUUUUCAAAAUGUUUCACAUAUUUUAUCUGACAUUUCUUCUCUAAGGGUCCAUCUUUUAAUCUGCUAUUAACAUUGAAACUAAAGUUUAUAAGUUAAAAAAUAACUGCAGUAGCUGGAAUUAAUGCAAAUAACAGCUAAAGAAAAAAAUCCCCAGUUAUGAAAGGACUACAGAGACACUCGUUGUAACAAGUUGUUAUUUGCAUAUGCAUUCAACAAAUAUGAAUUGGCACUUACUCUGUGCCAGGCACUGUUCAGGGCCCAGGAGAAUAAGCAGGGGACAAAACCUGGAGGCAGACAGAGUAGGGGAGGUGGGAAAUUAACAAUACAUAUGUAAUAAUAGUAAAUAGUAUAUGGUAAUAUAUAUAAUAAUGUAAGGUAGAUAAUUCUCUAAUAACAUAAAGUAUUUAAUAAUGGUAAAUGCAGGGAAGGAAAAAUAAGGCAGCUAAGGGCAAGUGAUGGAAGUGCCACUUUAGAUGUGGCUCUUUGGAAAGUAAAUCUAGAAUCAGUAUUGUAUAAUGGUUAAGGGCUAGAGAUCUAGAGGCAAAGACACCUGGAUUUUUUAAUCCCAACUGGACAAUUUAUUAGCUUUGGGUUCGCAGGCAGGUUAUUCUGUCUCCCUAAAAUUGAGUGCCCUGAUCUAUAAAGUGGGGAUAAUAAUGGAACAUUCUUCAAAGGGCUGGUGUGAAUGCUUAGCCCAAUGCCUGGCACACGUCAAUGCUCCAUAAGUGUUCAUUCUUAUUAUCUGAGAUUUGAAUCUGUGAUUUGUUAAAAAAUAAAUAAAUAAAGUAGGAGGCUGGGCCUGUGGCCUAGUGGUUAAGUUCAGUGUGCUCUGCUUCAGCUGCCCAGGCUAGGAUCCCAGACCUGGACCUACACCACUCAUCGGUGGCCAUGCUGUGGCAGUGAUGCACAUACAAAAUAGAGGAAAAUUGGCAGACGUAUUAGCUCAGGGCAAAUCUUCCUGAGCAAAAAAAAAAAAAAA
rnacentral:lncRNA from 1 species